rnacentral:rRNA from 1 species
AGCGAACGCUGGCGGCAGGCCUAAUACAUGCAAGUCGAGCGGCCCUUCGGGGCAGCGGCGGACGGGUGAGUAACGCGUGGGAAUGUGCCCUUUGGUACGGAACAACACAGGGAAACUUGUGCUAAUACCGUAUGUGCCCUUCGGGGGAAAGAUUUAUCGCCAUUGGAGCAGCCCGCGUUGGAUUAGGUAGUUGGUGAGGUAAAGGCUCACCAAGCCUACGAUCCAUAGCUGGUCUGAGAGGAUGAUCAGCCACACUGGGACUGAGACGCGGCCCAGACUCCUACGGGAGGCAGCAGUAGGGAAUCUUGCGCAAUGGGCGAAAGCCUGACGCAGCCAUGCCGCGUGAAUGAUGAAGGUCUUAGGAUUGUAAAAUUCUUUCACCGGGGAAGAUAAUGACGGUACCCGGAGAAGAAGCCCCGGCUAACUUCGUGCCAGCCGCCGCCGUAACAC